UGGGGGAUAUUGCACAAUGGAGGAAACUCUGAUGCAGCGACGCCGCGUGAGUGAAGAAGUAUUUCGGUAUGUAAAGCUCUAUCAGCAGGGAAGAAAAUGACGGUACCUGACUAAGAAGCCCCGGCUAACUACGUGCCAGCAGCCGCGGUAAUACGUAGGGGGCAAGCGUUAUCCGGAUUUACUGGGUGUAAAGGGAGCGUAGACGGCGAUGCAAGUCUGAAGUGAAAUACCCGGGCUCAACCUGGGAACUGCUUUGGAAACUGUAUGGCUAGAGUGCUGGAGAGGUAAGCGGAAUUCCUAGUGUAGCGGUGAAAUGCGUAGAUAUUAGGAAGAACACCAGUGGCGAAGGCGGCUUACUGGACAGUAACUGACGUUCAGGCUCGAAAGCGUGGGGAGCAAACAGG
rnacentral:rRNA from 2 species